AUUACAAAUUAUGAAAUCUUAAUACUAACUUUUAUAUACAAAUAAUUUGCGUGUACAGGUUAAUGCAGGUGAACAUAAUCCUACACAGUCUACAACAGCUUCUAUUUGUCUAUCGUCAUAGUAUCUAUCCAGAAAUAUCAAUCCAGAGCUUAGUCUGCAGUAUUAUCUUAUUCCAUAUAAUACCUGUGUGAAAAGUAUUGUCGAAAAUAUGAAUAAUGCACGAAAAUUUGUUUCAAAUUGUUUGUAUUGUAAUGUUUUUUUCCGAUAUUAUAUUUUUAGAGGCUGUUCGUACCAUUCAUAAUCAUAUGACGGACAACGAUAUAGCUGAGUAUACAUCAAAAUGGCUUGCCCAAGCUACCUUAAGGAUUCAUAGAGAAAAGCAUAGUACUCCACAUGAUGAGAAAGAUGAUCAGCAAUAAUCGGGACGAAAAUAUAUUUUUUUAGAGAAAGGACAAGAGUGAAACAAAAAAAAUUUUUAUUUUCUUCAAGAGCUCAAAAAAAUAGAAUAAGUGAUAUAAAAAUUUAUUUUUUUAUAUAAUACACUUUAUAAUCAUUUUAUAAAAGUUUAUAUAACAAAGGUUAUUUUUAUUUUACAUAUGCGUGCAAUAUAUAUGCGUGCAACGUAUAUAUGUUAUAUAAACAUGUGAUACAUUGAAAGACUGUGCAAUCUGUAGAGAUACGAAUAUGAAUAUAUGUUCGGAAAUAUGAAUAAAGUCAAUUUGCUUAUGUCUACAUA